rnacentral:lncRNA from 10 species
GAAGUUAGACCUAUCAUGUAUAAAUACAAAUGACCAAGGACUGUGCCCCUAAGCUGAAGCAGGCUGAAAAACAAGAUGUCCCAUACCUCUUAACCAUGAGACUUGGAAUGAGUUUACAGUUGCUGUUAAAACUUGAAAAAGGGUAGCUUUAUUUUUCACACAUUUGUGAACAAGGCUUGGCUGGGAAGUUGGAGACCACAAGUUGGCACAUUCCCAUGAAGGCUGCCAACAGAGAGUCCAAUCACACACCAGUCUCAUGCACGGAGCUGACAACCACAUCCCUUAAAGAAAGGCCCUGUGCCAUUUCCAGAGCUUUUCUUUUUUCUCGUCAUGGUGUUGGCUUUUAAUGGAAACCAAGAAACUUGAUGCACCGAGCCCAAGAAACAGAAACAGAAGCAGAAGCAGAAAGCUUCAGUGGAAAACAGCUAUCCAGUUAAAGCAUCAUCACAUACAACUGAGAUGAUCUCGGGCACCCCUGCACCCCAGCCUCCUCAGCAGGGUGGGAGAGUGAUGCCCACACUGCUCACCUUGCAAGAAGAAAUGACCAUCGAGCCAACCAGUUCUUGCUGUGUAACCAAGGGUGCUGAGGCCCAGCGGCUGGGCCAGCUGGCUGGGAGUUGCUGAUGGAGGCCAGGGGCUGUGCUCCCUCUGUUUCCAGUGCUCCAGCAGGCAGGCCUGGGAGUGUGCACGUGGUCCUGGGAGAAGCACGACAAGGAGCCUCAAGAACAAAGGCCAUCAGAGAGGCCGUUUGCUGGCAUGGAGCCCCCCAGGACUCAUCAACCAUGGUUGAGGUUGACUGAAAACAGAGCAAGAGAGGCCCCCGCCUGUCUCAGCCCCCUCUGAAGAUGUUGGAAAGGAGGAGAAGGAAGAGGAAAGCAGAGGGGAUCGCCCCGCAGAGGCCAGCCUGCAGCCUGGGCUCCAUGCACCUCUGGCUGCUAACGGGAUCCACCUCGGGUCAAGAAGGUGCUGGCUCACACUUUCCUCAAGAUUUUAGAGAUGCAUGUAUCCCAGUGCAUGUCCUGGAAAGCCUUUAAAAUUCAGAGAAAACAAGCAAAGCUCUGGCUAAUUAAAUGUUUUCUGCUUACCGUUGUUAACAUAUUAAUGAAACAGGUUAAAUGUAUUACUCAGUGAUGAGGAAGCUCUUAGCUUCUAUGCACCCCUUUUUGAGAGGAUUUCUCCAAGUGGCAUCAGUGUUUACAGUGCACUGGCUUCCUGUUCAUAGGACUUUUAUGUGGGGGUGGUGGCAAGGCAGAAAGCAUCCCCAGGGUGAGAAGGGGAUGGGGAGGUCCACGUUGCAGUUCAGACCCCCUCGUCACCUGCCUUUGAGACAGCCACGUCCCUGAGCCUUUCCUGUCAAAUGAGGGUAGGUAAGUUUCUAAUGUUCCCGUUUUGACCUCUCAGACUCAGGGACUGGGGCUAGAGCACGGGUCCUCUCGUUGAAGUCACUGUAGCACUUCAGAGGCAUCAGCACUCUUGCUUUAUUUUGCACAUCCUUGGUUGUCAGUUAUUAUGGGUACACAGCAAGCUACCCCAAACUUAGUACAACAACAACCGUUUUGCUGUGCUCACGGAUUCUGUGGGUAAGGAAUUUGGAAGGGGCCCAGGGUGUGGUGUGUCAUUUGGGAAGAUUUGAGUCAGUAGUAGGUUUGCUCACUCCCAUGUCUGUGGCGCACGUGGCCUCUGUGUGGCUGGGCUUCCUCACAGCAUGGCGUCCUGAGCUGCCUUUCAUGGGGGCUUACUCAGGGCUCCCAGCACAAGGGUUCCAGCCAACAGGGUGGAUUUCACAGCGCCUUUUCUGGCCCAGUCUCUG